UACGUAGGCAGCGAGCGUUGUUCGGAGUUACUGGGCGUAAAGGGUGUGUAGGCGGUUGUUUAAGUUUGGUGUGAAAUCUCCCGGCUCAACUGGGAGGGUGCGCCGAAUACUGAGCGACUAGAGUGCGGGAGAGGAAAGUGGAAUUCCUGGUGUAGCGGUGAAAUGCGUAGAUAUCGAGAGGAACACCAGUGGCGAAGGCGAGUCCCUGGACAACACCUGACACUGAGGCACGAAAGCUAGGGGAGCAAACAGG
rnacentral:rRNA from 1 species